rnacentral:rRNA from 1 species
CAGCACCUCAAGUGGUCAGGAUGAUUAUUGGGCCUAAAGCAUCCGUAGCCGGCGCUGUAAGUUUUCGGUUAAAUCUGUACGCUCAACGUACAGGCUGCCGGGAAUACUGCAGCGCUAGGGAGUGGGAGAGGUAGACGGUACUCGGUAGGAAGGGGUAAAAUCCUUUGAUCUAUUGAUGACCACCUGUGGCGAAGGCGGUCUACCAGAACACGUCCGACGGUGAGGGAUGAAAGCUGGGGGAGCCAUCCGGAUUAGAGACCCGAGUAGUCC